GAUGAACGCUGGCGGCGUGCCUAAUACAUGCAAGUCGAGCGAACGGACGAGAAGCUUGCUUCUCUGAUGUUAGCGGCGUACGGGUGAGUAACACGUGGAUAACCUACCUAUAAGACUGGGAUAACUUCGGGAAACCGUAGCUAAUACCGGAUAAUAUUUUGAUCCGCAUGUUUCAAAAGUGAAAGACGGUCUUGCUGUUACUUAUAUAUGUAUCCGCGCUGCAUUAGCUAGUUGGUAAGGUAACGGCUUACCAAGGCAACGAUGCAUAGCCGACCUGAGAGGGUGAUCGGCCACACUGGAACUGAGACACGGUCCAGACUCCUACGGGGGGCAGCAGUAGGGAAUCUUCCGCAAUGGGCGAAAGCCUGACGGAGCAACGCCGCGUGAGUGAUGAAGGUCUUCGGAUCGUAAAACUCUGUUAUUAGGGAAGAACAUAUGUGUACGUAACUGUGCACAUCUUGACGGUACCUAAUCAGAAAGCCACGGCUAACUACGUG
rnacentral:rRNA from 1 species